GCCGGGCACGGUGGCACACGCCUGUAGUCCCAGCUACUAGCCUGAGGCUGGAGGAUCGCUUGAGUCUAGAAGUUCCGGGCUGUAGUGCACUAUGCCAAUCGGGUGUCCGCACUAAAUUCGGCAUCAAUAUGGUGACCUCCCAGGGGCAGGGGACCACCAGGUUGCCUAAGGAGGGUGAACAGGCCCAGGUGGGAAACGGAGCAGGUCAAAACUCCCUUGCUGAUCAUUAGUGGGAUCUCGCCUGUAAAUAGCCACCACACUCCAGCCUGGGCAACAUAGCGAUACCCAGUCUCUA
ensembl:misc_RNA Metazoa_SRP Metazoan signal recognition particle RNA